AACGCGAAGAACCUUACCUGGGUUUGACAUCCCCUGACAGCUGUAGAAAUACAGUCUCUGUAGCAAUACAGCAGGGAGACAGGUGCUGCAUGGCUGUCGUCAGCUCGUGGGGUGACCUGUUGGGUUAAGUCCCGCAACGAGCGCAACCCUUGUCCUUAGUUGCCAGCAUUCAGUUGGGCUCUCUAAGGAGACUGCCGUGGUUAACACGGAGGAAGGUGGGGAUGACGUCAAGUCCUCAUGGCCUUUAUAUCCAGGGCGACACACGUGAUACAAUGGACGGUACAGAGGGAUGCUAAAGAGCGAUCUGGAGCAAAUCCCAAAAAGCCGUUCUCAGUUCGGAUUGGAGUCUGCAACUCGACUCCAUGAAGGUGGAAUCGCUAGUAAUCGCGGAUCAGCACGCCGCGGUGAAUAUGUUCCCGGGCCUUGUACACACCGGCUAC
rnacentral:rRNA from 1 species